UACGAAGGGGGCUAGCGUUGCUCGGAAUUACUGGGCGUAAAGCGCACGUAGGCGGCUCUUUAAGUCGGGGGUGAAAUCCUGGAGCUCAACUCCAGAACUGCCUUUGAUACUGAAGAUCUUGAGUUCGGGAGAGGUGAGUGGAACUGCGAGUGUAGAGGUGAAAUUCGUAGAUAUUCGCAAGAACACCAGUGGCGAAGGCGGCUCACUGGCCCGAUACUGACGCUGAGGCACGAAAGCGUGGGGAGCAAACAGG
rnacentral:rRNA from 1 species